GAGUUGCGAACGGGUGAGUAACGCGUAGGUAACCUGCCUGGUAGUGGGGGAUAACUAUUGGAAACGAUAGCUAAUACCGCAUAACAAUGGAUGACACAUGUCAUUUAUUUGAAAGGUGCAAUUGCAUCACUACCAGAUGGACCUGCGUUGUAUUAGCUAGUUGGUGGGGUAACGGCUCACCAAGGCGACGAUACAUAGCCGACCUGAGAGGGUGAUCGGCCACACUGGGACUGAGACACGGCCCAGACUCC
rnacentral:rRNA from 1 species